GGUUAAACGAUAUCGGUGGUGUUGAGGUGUCGUGGUUAUUCGGGCAAUCAGCGUGGAGGACAGAUACAAUAGCCAUCGCGCUCUUUUUACAAUGUGAGCUACUCCCAGUUCUACUCUGCGUUCCCAGUGUCCCAGUCUCUGCUGGAGCCCGUGUUUCUGCAGGUUGAGCUCCUGCAGCCCCACAGCCAGACUGACCCCUGAACUGGACUCCAGCCCUCAAUGGGACCUGGUCACUGACUGCUGCCUGGUCACUGGAGACUCGUACAGGACCCACUUCACUACAGAACCCACCUGGAGGAUACCU